GCAAGUCGUACGAGAAAGUCUCUUCGGAGGCGAGUAAAGUGGCGCACGGGUGAGUAACGCGUGGGUAAUCUGCCCUUAGGUUUGGGAUAACCCCGGGAAACCGGAGCUAACACCGAAUAAGACCACGAUGACUUCGGUCGAUGUGGGAAAACAUGGCCUCUCCUUGGAAGCUAUGGCCAAUGGAUGAGCCCGCGUUUGAUUAGCUUGUUGGUGAGGUAACGGCUCACCAAGGCUCCGAUCAAUAGCUGGUCUGAGAGGAUGAUCAGCCACACUGGAACUGAGACACGGUCCAGACUCCUACGGGAGGCAGCAGUCGGGAAUAUUGGGCAAUGGGCGAAAGCCUGACCCAGCAACGCCGCGUGAAGGAUGAAGGCCUUCGGGUCGUAAACUUCUGUCGAGAGGGAAGAAUGCGUGCGGGUGAAUAAUCCGUACGUUUGACGGUACCUCCAAAGGAAGCACCGGCUAACUCCGUGCCAGCAGCCGCGGUAAUACGGAGGGUGCAAGCGUUGUUCGGAUUUAUUGGGCGUAAAGCGAGUGUAGGCGGUUUAGCAAGUCGGAUGUGAAAUCCCAGGGCCCAACCCUGGAACUGCAUCCGAUACUGUUAGGCUAGAGUCCCGGAGAGGGUGGCGGAAUUCCCGGUGUAGGGGUGAAAUCCGUAGAUAUCGGGAGGAACACCAGUGGCGAANGCGGCCACCUGGACNGUGACUGACGCUGANACUCGAAAGCGUGGGUAGCAAACNNNANUAGAUACCCUGGUAGUCCACGCCGUAAACGGUGAGAGCUCGUCGUANUGGGUAUUGACCCCUGCUGUGACCAAGU
rnacentral:rRNA from 1 species